GAUGAACGCUGGCGGUGUGCCUAACACAUGCAAGUCGAGCGGCAGCACGAUAAGAGCUUGCUCCUGCUGUUGGCGGCGGGCGGACGAGUGAGACAUGCAUAUGCAACUUAUAUGACUGGGGGGACUACGGCGAACAGGAGCUGAUACCGACUAAUAUCACGAACCGUUGGGCUCAAAAGUUAAAGGAAGUGUUGUUGUCUGUGAGAGAUGCAUCCGUGCUACAUUAGCUAGUUGGUAAGGUAACGGCUUACCAAGGCAACGAUGCAUAGCCGACCUGAGAGGGUGAUCGGCCACACUGGAACUGAGACACGGUCCAGACUCCUACGGGAGGCAGCAGUGGGGAAUCUUACGCAAUGGGCGAAAGCCUGACCGAGCAACGCCGCGUGGGUGAUGAAGGUCUUCGGAUCGUAAAGCUCUGUUAUUAGGAAAGAACAUAAGUAUGAGUAACUGUGCACAUCCUGACGGUACCUAAUGAAUAAGCAACGGCUAACUACGUG
rnacentral:rRNA from 1 species